UAACAUGCAAUGUGAGUUGAUGUACAAUAGAAAAAAUGCAUUUUUUCACAAAAAACUUUAAAUGCCAUUUAGAAAGCUCCAUGAUAAAUCUCUCAAAACAAAACCAAAUUACAAAAGAUCUCUUCCUCUUUUUGGGAUCGAUAUCGAGGGAAAAGGGUCCUCUUCUCGUUGGCUCAUCUUUUAGGACCAAUCAAAUGGGUAUUACUCAUGAUUUUGAGGUGACUCAGGGAGAUGGUAUGUCAGGAUCUGUCUUUUUU
rnacentral:lncRNA from 1 species